AUACUUACCUGACAGGGGAGAUACCAUGUUCAUAAAGGUGGUUUUCCCAUGGUGAGGCUCAUCCAUUGCACUCCAACUGUACUGAGUUGUAAUUUCCCCAAAUGUAGGAAAUUCGCCUGCCUGGGC
rnacentral:snRNA from 13 species